UGCCAGCCGCCGCGGUAAUACGGAGGGUGCGAGCGUUAAUCGGAAUCACUGGGCGUAAAGGGCACGCAGGCGGUUACUUAAGUGAGGUGUGAAAGCCCUGGGCUUAACCUAGGAAUUGCAUUUCAUACUGGGUAACUAGAGUAUUUUAGGGAAGAGUAGAAUUCCACGUGUAGCGGUGAAAUGCGUAGAGAUGUGGAGGAAUACCGAAGGCGAAGGCAGCUCUUUGGGGAAAUACUGACGCUCAUGUGCGAAAGCGUGGGGAGCAAACAGGAUUAGAUA
rnacentral:rRNA from 1 species